rnacentral:tRNA from 1 species
UCGUGGGAGCUUAGUGGUAGAGCGUCCGACCGGUGUGCGGAAGAUCAUAGGUUCAACUCCUGUUUGGAGAA